GUGAGACACAGGACCCGGUCGGGUCCGAUGGGGGUUCGGGAGCAGUUUCUUGCAGGGGCCGAGAGGAGACGGAGCCGCCAAUGACCGUUGGUGGGAUGGCGCCGGCUGAGCCGACCGUGCUCAGUUCAAAAGAAGACAAACAACAAGAGAGUGAAAGUUCGUUGUCUCGUCCCCCUCCCCCGUAUCCACACCCCUCAGGCGGAACGUUGUAUCCUUUAUCAGAAUGACGUCAGUGUUACCUGACUCAAGGGGGCGGAGGAAGCUGUGAUCUACACGGGCAGGAUCAACUUAGUGCCCACAUGGGGAGGGACCAGACAAAAGGUCCGUCCAAUGCGGACAGGGAGCAUAGCCUACUGUCUCUGGUCACUCCCAGGGGCGGUAGUGCGAGUGAUAGUGUAGAAGAGAAAGAAGGGACUGGCUUUGAGUGCAGGGGGAGGGAUCAAAUGACGGACUGGAAUGGGAUUAGAUCGGAGGCUUUGGGAAAGGGUAUAGUUCCAGAGGCAUUCCGGGUGAUUACCGAAGCCAACUCCAGAACAACUGAGGGACAGACGAUGGGAUCAAGAACCACUCGUCAAGAGGAGCACUACACCUGCAACGCUGACACUUCCGAUGUUGCUGAUAUUUAUGGUGUCCAUGGCGAUUACAGAGUGUCACAAACAACUACAAUGGACACAAGAACAUAUGCAGAAAAUUAAAGAAGAGCGUGAUCCCUUUGGAAGCUGGCUGGACGGACUGUUUGGGGGAACGGGUUCAUGGUUAAAGCAAUUGCUUAAAGCUCUCGCAGUAGGAUUUGUAAUCUUUGUGUGUAUUCUAAUCUGUCUUCCAUGCUUUGUAGGAUGCUUGCAGAACUGCCUUCAACGAAUGAUGGACAAGACUUUUGACUAUCACAUUGAGUAUCAUAGAUUGCGUGAAAAAUUAUAGAGGGGUUUAGGUUGUUGCGUUCGUGCUGUAACGGGGCAAGGCUUGGCCGAGCACGGAAAAGAAUUCCCUGUUGCUCUGAUGAUUGCUUAAGAACUGUAGUAGAAAAUAGUAGGAAUAGUGUGCUGAAAUAUAUUUAGGAUUAGGCGUUUUGCGCUGCUUCGCGAUGUACGGGUUAGGUGUGUGUGUAAGUAGUAUUUAGCUUAGGAAGGGGGAGAUGUUGUAGUAGGCGUCUUGCGGGGGCACGGGAUGUACGGGACAGGCCUCUCCCUAAACAUAGAGAGACAGUGCUAUCGUGCUGACCUUGUUGCAGAGAAAACAGGAGAAGAAGAAGGAUGAUAAAAGAAUGUGGAAACGGCCAAAUAAGGCACAAUGUUAUCUGGUGUGAACCAAUCAGAGUGGGACAUGACAGCACGGUUAUCUAGGUAAAAAUGUAUAUAAGCUGUGUUUAGAAGUGAAUAAACGCC
rnacentral:lncRNA from 1 species